rnacentral:rRNA from 1 species
ACAGUGGACGCGAGCAUCUGUGGCCAAGUUUUUAAGGGCGCACGGUGGAUGCCUUGGCACCAGGAACCGAUGAAGGACGUGGGAGGCCACGAUAGGCCCCGGGGAGCUGUCAACCGAGCUUUGAUCCGGGGGUGUCCGAAUGGGGAAACCCGGCAGUCGUCAUGGGCUGUCACCCGCUGCUGAACACAUAGGCAGUGUGGAGGGAACGCGGGGAAGUGAAACAUCUCAGUACCCGCAGGAAGAGAAAACAACCGUGAUUCCGGGAGUAGUGGCGAGCGAAACCGGAUGAGGCCAAACCGUAUGUGUGUGAUACCCGGCAGGGGUUGCGCAUACGGGGUUGUGGGAGCUUCCUUGAUCAGUCUGCCGGCUGAUCGGAGAGUCAGAAACCGUAUAGAUAGGCGAAGGACAUGCGAAAGGUCCGGCGUAGAGGGUAAGACCCCCGUAGCUGAAAUCUAUGCGGCUCUCUUGGAAGCCACCCAAGUAGCACGGGGCCCGAGAAAUCCCGUGUGAAUCUGGCGGGACCACCCGCUAAGCCUAAAUAUUCCCUGGUGACCGAUAGCGGAUAGUACCGUGAGGGAAUGGUGAAAAGUACCGCGGGAGCGGAGUGAAAUAGUACCUGAAACCGUGUGCCUACAAGCCGUGGGAGCGUCGCGCAUCGAGCUUGCUCGGUGCGUCGUGACUGCGUGCCUUUUGAAGAAUGAGCCUGCGAGUUUGCGGUAUGUUGCGAGGUUAACCCGUGUGGGGAAGCCGUAGCGAAAGCGAGUCCGAAUAGGGCGUUUGAGUAGCGUGCCCAAGACCCGAAGCGGAGUGAUCUAGCCAUGGGCAGGUUGAAGCGGAGGUAAGACUUCGUGGAGGACCGAACCCACCAGGGUUGAAAACCUGGGGGAUGACCUGUGGUUAGGGGUGAAAGGCCAAUCAAACUCCGUGAUAGCUGGUUCUCCCCGAAAUGCAUUUAGGUGCAGCGUCGUGUGUUUCUUGCCGGAGGUAGAGCACUGGAUAGGCGAUGGGCCCUACCGGGUUACUGACCUUAGCCAAACUCCGAAUGCCGGUAAGUGAGAGCGCGGCAGUGAGACUGUGGGGGAUAAGCUCCAUGGUCGAGAGGGAAACAGCCCAGAGCAUCGACUAAGGCCCCUAAGCGUACGCUAAGUGGGAAAGGAUGUGGAGUCGCAGAGACAACCAGGAGGUUGGCUUAGAAGCAGCCACCCUUGAAAGAGUGCGUAAUAGCUCACUGGUCAAGUGAUUCCGCGCCGACAAUGUAGCGGGGCUCAAGCGUACCGCCGAAGUCGUGUCAUUGCAGUAUGUACCCCCAACGGGGACUGUGAUGGGUAGGGGAGCGUCGUGUGCCGGGUGAAGCAGCCGCGGAAGCGAGUUGUGGACGGUUCACGAGUGAGAAUGCAGGCAUGAGUAGCGAUACACACGUGAGAAACGUGUGCGCCGAUUGACUAAGGGUUCCUGGGUCAAGCUGAUCUGCCCAGGGUAAGUCGGGACCUAAGGCGAGGCCGACAGGCGUAGUCGAUGGACAACCGGUUGAUAUUCCGGUACCCGCUUUGAAACGCCCAAUAUCGAAUCAGGCGAUGCUAAGUCCGUGAAGCCGCCCUGGAGUCUUCGGACAAAGGGGAGUGGUGGAGCCGACGAACCAGACUUGUAGUAGGUAAGCGAUGGGGUGACGCAGGAAGGUAGUCCAGCCCGGGCGGUGGUAGUCCCGGGGUAAGGGUGUAGGGCGUUGUGUAGGCAAAUCCGCACAACAUGCAGCCUGAGACCUGAUGCCGAGCCGAUUGUGGUGAAGUGGAUGAUCCUAUGCUGUCGAGAAAAGCCUCUAGCGAGUUUCAUGGCGGCCCGUACCCUAAACCGACUCAGGUGGUCAGGUAGAGAAUACCGAGGCGUUCGGGUGAACUAUGGUUAAGGAACUCGGCAAAAUGCCCCCGUAACUUCGGGAGAAGGGGGGCCAUGUCUGGUGAGGGAACUUGCUUCCUGAGCUGGGUGUGGCCGCAGAGACCAGCGAGAAGCGACUGUUUACUAAAAACACAGGUCCGUGCGAAGCCGUAAGGCGAUGUAUACGGACUGACGCCUGCCCGGUGCUGGAACGUUAAGGGGACCGGUUAGCUCCAUUUCGGUGGGGCGAAGCUGAGAACUUAAGCGCCAGUAAACGGCGGUGGUAACUAUAACAUCCUAAGGUAGCGAAAUUCCUUGUCGGGUAAGUUCCGACCUGCACGAAUGGCGUAACGACUUCUCGACUGUCUCAACCAUAGGCCCGGUGAAAUUGCACUACGAGUAAAGAUGCUCGUUUCGCGCAGCAGGACGGAAAGACCCCGGGACCUUUACUAUAGCUUGAUAUUGGUGUUCGGUUCGGCUUGUGUAGGAUAGGUGGAGACUGUGAAGCAUGCACGCCAGUGUGUGUGGAGUCGUCGUUGAAAUACCACUCUGGUCGUGCUGGAUGUCUAACCUG